rnacentral:rRNA from 1 species
UCAAAGGAAUUGACGGGGACCCGCACAAGCAGCGGAGCAUGUGGUUUAAUUCGAAGCAACGCGAAGAACCUUACCAGGGCUUGACAUGCCGCUGACCGGUGCAGAGAUGCAUCUUUAUCCUUCGGGGUACAGCGGACACAGGUGGUGCAUGGUUGUCGUCAGCUCGUGUCGUGAGAUGUUGGGUUAAGUCCCGCAACGAGCGCAACCCUUGUCUUUAGUUGCCAUCAUUAAGUUGGGCACUCUAAAGAGACUGCCGAUGACAAAUCGGAGGAAGGUGGGGAUGACGUCAAAUCAUCAUGCCCUUUAUGUCCUGGGCUACACACGUGCUACAAUGGUCGGUACAACGAGAAGCAAGUCAGCGAUGGCAAGCAAAUCUCUAAAAGCCGAUCCCAGUUCGGAUUGCAGGCUGCAACUCGCCUGCAUGAAGUCGGAGUUGCUAGUAAUCGCGGAUCAGAAUGCCGCGGUGAAUGCGUUCCCGGGUCUUGUACACACCGCCCGUCACACCAUGGGAGUUGUCAAUACCCGAAGCCAGUGAGCUAACCAGUAAUGGAGGCAGCUGUCGAAGGUAGGGGCAAUGACUGGGGUGAAGUCGUAACAGGUAGCCGUAUCGGAAGGUGCGGCUG